rnacentral:rRNA from 1 species
GUGCCAGCAGCCGCGGUAAUACGGAGGGUGCAAGCGUUACUCGGAAUCACUGGGCGUAAAGCGCGCGCAGGCGGCCUUUUAAGUUGGAUGUGAAAGCCUAUGGCUCAACCAUAGAACUGCAUCCAAAACUAUUAGGCUAGAGUGUGGGAGAGGAAGAUGGAAUUAGUUGUGUAGGGGUAAAAUCCGUAGAGAUAACUAGGAAUACCAAAAGCGAAGGCAAUCUUCUGGAACAUUACUGACGCUGAGGCGCGAAAGCGUGGGGAGCAAACAGGAUUAGAUACCCUGGUAGUCCACGCCCUAAACGAUGAAUGUUAGUCGUCGGGUAGCUAGUCUAUUCGGUGAUGCAGCUAACGCAUUAAACAUUCCGCCUGGGGAGUACGGUCGCAAGAUUAAAACUCAAAGGAAUAGACGGGGACCCGCACAAGUGGUGGAGCAUGUGGUUUAAUUCGAAGAUACGCGAAGAACCUUACCUAGCCUUGACAUAUAUUAGAACUCAGCAGAGAUGCAGAGGUGCCUUCGGGAGCUUUUAUACAGGUGCUGCACGGCUGUCGUCAGCUCGUGUCGUGAGAUGUUGGGUUAAGUCCCGCAACGAGCGCNNCCCUCGUCACUAGUUACUAACGGUUCGGCCGAGGACUCUNGUGAGACUGCCUUCGUAAGGAGGAGGAAGGUGAGGACGACGUCAAGUCAUCAUGGCCCNNNNNGCUAGGGCAACACACNNGCUACAAUGGCCAGGACAGUGAGACGCAAUACCGCGAGGUGGAGCAAAUCUAUAAACCUGGUCUCAGNUCGGAUUG